GGCAAGUUAAGAAAACAAGCUCUGUGUUUGAACCCCUGGCAGGCCGCAUGUUCUGAGGAUGACAUGGGACAAGUAAGGACAGGUGACCUUCAGAAUGAAGGUGAAGUUUUCAAUGCAAAAACCUACUAAGAAGUAAAUGAUUUGUUCAAGAUUUUCUUCUUAUUUCAUAGAGCUAUCAAUUCAGUCUGCCCCCAACUGGCUGCAGAGAUACUGGGGAGUGACAGAGCCACUGUUCAACAAUUUUUAUUUCCCAUCUUAUAAAAAUUUUCAGAUCUUUAACAACCAGAGCGAUAAAAUUUGUUACCAAAAUCCUUAUGGAUAAAACACUA